rnacentral:lncRNA from 1 species
CCCCUCAUGGCAACAUCUGCAUGUUGACAUACAUCAGUAAUGGUCUGUGAAUCAUUUGAAUUCUGGUUGAAGGCUGACACCGUCAUAGUCUCUCUACUCAUCUCCAUGGCCAAAAUUUGCUUUUGAAAGCAUUUGCUCCAAAGUAUAAAUGACUGUUAACAACUGCACAUGGCACCCCCCUCCCUUGAAGGCAUUCUGAAUUUCAACCAAACAUUUAGGAUGCAAAAAUGGAACAAGAUUAGCAAGAUUUAGACUUGGAAGCAGGCAAGUCAGAUUCCUCCCAACAGUCAUGCUAUUCAAUGCAGCAAGCAACCCAGCCUUAGUGGAAAGAAGCUUGGGAAAAGGGAACGUGAGACUUCUCACAAUAUACAGGAAGGACCUUUGCAGUCAAAUAGCCUACUCACCUGAUUUUCCUG